AGCCUUCUGUAUCCAUGCUGAGAUUUUAAUCACACACCAGACCACAAGGGCUGAUGAGACUUCUCAGAUCAGUGAAGCG
rnacentral:pre_miRNA from 1 species